rnacentral:tRNA from 1 species
UCCUCCUUAGCUCAGUUGGUUAGAGCAUCUGACUGUUAAUCAGAGGGUCUCUGGUUCAAGUCCAGAAGGGGGAGCCA